rnacentral:rRNA from 1 species
UACAGAGGGGGCAAGCGUUGUUCGGAAUUACUGGGCGUAAAGGGCGCGUAGGUGGCCUUCUAAGUCGAACGUGAAAUCCCUGGGCUCAACCCAGGAACUGCGUCCGAUACUGGAAGGCUUGAAUCCGGGAGAGGGAUGCGGAAUUCCAGGUGUAGCGGUGAAAUGCGUAGAUAUCUGGAGGAACACCGGUGGCGAAGGCGGCAUCCUGGACCGGCAUUGACGCUGAGGCGCGAAAGCUAGGGGAGCAAACGGG